rnacentral:miRNA from 1 species
AAGCUUUUUGCUCGCGUUAU